AUUCUUUUUAUUUAACGCUCUAUUAAAAUUUUAGGGUAAAGGCCUAUUGCUUUAAGGGGGAUA
rnacentral:tRNA from 1 species